UCAGGUACUUAUAGGUAUCAGCAAUGUACCAGUGAUGUAUGGUCUCGUGGUCAGUCCUUAGGUCAGGUACUUACAGGUAUCAGCGAUGUAUGGUCUUCUGGUCAGUGCUCAGGUCAGGUACUUACAGGUAUCAGCGAUGUAUGGUCUUGUGGUCAGUGCUUGGGUCAGGUACUUAUAGGUAUCAGCGAUGUAUGGUCUCGUGGUCAGUCCUUAGGUCAGGUACUUACAGGUAUCAGCGAUGUAUGGUCUUGUGGUCAGUGCUCAGGUCAGGUACUUACAGGUAUCAGCGAUGUAUGGUCUUGUGGUCAGUGCUUAGGUCAGGUACUUAUAGGUAUCAGCGAUGUAUGGUCUCGUGGUCAGUCCUUAGGUCAGGUACUUACAGGUAUCAGCGAUGUAUGGUCUUCUGGUCAGUGCUCAGGUCAGGUACUUACAGGUAUCAGCAAUGUAUGGUCUUGUGGUCAGUGCUCAGGUCAGGUACUUAUAGGUAUCAGCAAUGUAUGGUCUUGUGGUCAGUGCUCAGGUCAGGUACUUAUAGGUAUCAGCAAUGUAUGGUCUUGUGGUCAGUGCUCAGGUCAGGUACUUAUAGGUAUCAGCGAUGUAUGGUCUCGUGGUCAGUCCUUAGGUCAGGUACUUACAGGUAUCAGCGAUGUAUGGUCUUCUGGUCAGUGCUCAGGUCAGGUACUUACAGGUAUCAGCGAUGUAUGGUCUUGUGGUCAGUGCUUAGGUCAGGUACUUAUAGGUAUCAGCGAUGUAUGGUCUUCUGGUCAGUGCUCAGGUCAGGUACUUACAGGUAUCAGCGAUGUAUGGUCUUGUGGUCAGUGCUUGGGUCAGGUACUUAUAGGUAUCAGCGAUGUAUGGUCUUGUGGUCAGUGCUUAGGUCAGGUACUUAUAGGUAUCAGCGAUGUAUGGUCUUGUGGUCAGUGCUCAGGUCAGGUACUUACAGGUAUCAGCGAUGUAUGGUCUUGUGGUCAGUGCUUAGGUCAGGUACUUAUAGGUAUCAGCGAUGUACCAUACGGUCUUGUGGUCAGUGCUUAGGUCAGGUACUUACAGGUAUCAGCAAUGUAUGGUCUUGUGGUCAGUGCUCAGGUCAGGUACUUAUAGGUAUCAGCAAUGUAUGGUCUUGUGGUCAGUGCUCAGGUCAGGUACUUAUAGGUAUCAGCAAUGUAUGGUCUUGUGGUCAGUGCUCAGGUCAGGUACUUAUAGGUAUCAGCGAUGUAUGGUCUCGUGGUCAGUCCUUAGGUCAGGUACUUACAGGUAUCAGCGAUGUAUGGUCUUCUGGUCAGUGCUCAGGUCAGGUACUUACAGGUAUCAGCAAUGUAUGGUCUUGUGGUCAGUGCUCAGGUCAGGUACUUAUAGGUAUCAGCGAUGUAUGGUCUUGUGGUCAGUGCUCAGGUCAGGUACUUAUAGGUAUCAGCAAUGUAUGGUCUUGUGGUCAGUGCUCAGGUCAGGUACUUAUAGGUAUCAGCGAUGUAUGGUCUCGUGGUCAGUCCUUAGGUCAGGUACUUACAGGUAUCAGCGAUGUAUGGUCUUCUGGUCAGUGCUCAGGUCAGGUACUUACAGGUAUCAGCGAUGUAUGGUCUUGUGGUCAGUGCUUAGGUCAGGUACUUAUAGGUAUCAGCGAUGUACCAUACGGUCUUGUGGUCAGUGCUUAGGUCAGGUACUUACAGGUAUCAGCGAUGUAUGGUCUUGUGGUCAGUGCUCAGGUCAGGUACUUAUAGGUAUCAGCGAUGUAUGGUCUUGUGGUCAGUGCUUAGGUCAGGUACUUACAGGUACCAGUGAUGUACAGUCUUGUGGUCAGUGCUCAGGUCAGGUACUUACAGGUAUCCGUGAUGUAUGGUCUUCUGAUCUUGUGCUCAGUUGGAUUAUAUCCUCUGCGGUCAGAUUUUAUCUGCUGCAGUCAGUUACAUUGUAUUUGCUGUGGUCUGUUACUUACAGGUACCAAUACAUGGCUACCUCCCUUCCUCAUCGCACCUCCACCUAUGCCAAAUCUUCAUACAUCACACCUCCACCUUCCUACGACUUACCAUCUCCCCAUACUGUCACAACUCCCUAUACCAUCAUACCUUCACCACCCCCCUACACCAUCAUACCUUCACCACCCCCUACACCAUCAUACCUUCACCACCCCCUACACCAUCAUACCUUCACCACCCCCUACACCAUCAUACCUUCACCACCCCCUACACCAUCAUACCUUCACCACCCCCUACACCAUCAUACCUUCACCACCCCCCUACACCAUCAUACCUUCACCACCCACUACACCAUCAUACCUUCACCACCCCCUACACCAUCAUACCUUCACCACCCCCUACACCAUCAUACCUUUACCACCCCCUACACCAUCAUACCUUCACCACCCCCCUACACAAUCAUACCUUUACCACCCCCUACACCAUCAUACCUUCACCACCCCCCUACACCAUCAUACCUUCACCACCCCCUACACCAUCAUACCUUCACCACCCCCCUACACCAUCAUACCUUCACCACCCCCUACACCAUCAUACCUUCACCACCC